ensembl:miRNA MIR212 microRNA 212
CCCGGGCAGCGCGCCGGCACCUUGGCUCUAGACUGCUUACUGCCCGGGCCGCCCUCAGUAACAGUCUCCAGUCACGGCCACCGACGCCUGGCCCCGCC